rnacentral:rRNA from 1 species
UACGUAGGGGGCAAGCGUUGUCCGGAUUCAUUGGGCGUAAAGAGCGUGUAGGCGGCCAGGUAGGUCGGUUGUGAAAACUGGAGGCUCAACCUUCAGAGGUCGACCGAAACCAUCUGGCUAGAGUCCGGGAGAGGAGAGUGGAAUUCCUGGUGUAGCGGUGAAAUGCGCAGAUAUCAGGAGGAACACCAACGGCGAAGGCAGCUCGCUGGGACGGUACUGACACUGAGGCGCGAAAGCGUGGGGAGCGAACAGG